GUAGCCUAGCAGGAGAGCAGGCGAGGCUGCAGCCUAAACCUGCUCAAGGAAUGGCCUUUGUUGGGUUGUUUGCCUGAAGCGAAGGUGUGGGGGAAUCACUGAGGCAUUCCCAGAGCAGGGGACCCUUCUGUUUGGUAGUAGUGCUGUUUUGAGCCUGCUUAUGGCUGUGUGAAGCCACAGCUUGAGGAGUGAGCUAGGGGAUGUUGUGGAAGUUGGGCUGUGGGACAGAGGGGUGCAUACCUGUGUCCUGCACCCUGAGGAGGACACUGCAGUGUGCAUAGGGUCUUUCCGCCUGCAUGCUGAAGUGAUGCUGUUAUGGAGUGGAAGUUGGCCUUCUGGGCUGGAAGAUUUGAAGCGUGCUGGCUGUGUGCCAGCAGGGAUGAAAGCAGGGCCUCAUGUUGGAAGGGUCACCUGGAGGAGGAGGCUCUGGACCCCUGGGUCACAUCUGCACUGGGACUGGCUCUGCCUUGUACUGGACCACGUCCACCUGCCUGCGAGGCCCAGGAAACAGAUCUGUACCUACUCUUCAGAGAGACGAGGAGUUCAUAACCCAAUAUUUAGUGGCCAAUGUAAUAGAUGUGCUUAAUUAUACAGUGCCUGGUCUGAAGAGAUGACAUAUUCAGGCAUUCUCAUACUGUUUUCC